AAAAAAUUCCUGAUAUUCAAUAACACCUUUCUUCUACUCUGAGUUCAACAUAAAUCAUUGGCAAAGCAUAAUAUAAAAACUAAAAUUUAGUUCCAAAACUGGAAUGUAACUUGAUCUGAUAUAAAAAUAGUAUCCAAUUGGGAAUAACCCAAAAUAAAAACACAAGCUCACAGCCUUCUCCCUCUUCUACCACCCUUUCUGCGAGUGCU
rnacentral:misc_RNA from 1 species